rnacentral:lncRNA from 1 species
UCACGGAUCACUGAAACCGCCUUCUCCGAGGCCUCCAGGGUGACUAAAAGAAAGGCUUCCCUCACUCAACUCUAGAGAUACUGGACUUAAGGAAAUGUCCCCAUAGAACGCUGAGCCUUUCACCUCCUCUUUGCUCGUCUCACGGCUUUGUUAGACACGAAACCAUCUUCUGGAAAAUGUCUUCCCUGACACCUCUCCUACUUUUCUGAGUUUGGGUUGCUUUCCUCCUAGCACUCACGGAGAUCCAGGCACAAAAUUGCCUUGUAUUCAAGUUCCAAGUACCAACCAGCCUUCCACGUGUUGUUGUUUCAAAGAUAACUCUAUUUGCAAAGCCUUUACGCUACUGUUCAGAGAUUUCCGGAGUGUGUGCAACUUCAGUGAGGACUGGAAAGUGGGCCAUUGCGCAGUUCAGCUCUCAGGCUCUUUGUAGGUCUUUUACCAGUGAAGCAUUCAAGAUGGCUGGUACUUCCUCGUUUUCUUCGACAGGUGACUAAUGAAGCCGUUCUCCACGUUGUACUGUAUGGACAUGCGGCCCCAAGUGACAACAUCGAUCCCACUACCUCUCACAUGCUAAGCGAGUACUCUACCACUUGAGCUCAUUCGUCACCUACCGCAAAACUUUCUGCCCUUUCCUUUAUUCAGGAGUAGAUGUGCGCGAUUACCACCAUUUCUUGCGUCUCGGAACAAAGGAAAUGUCUGGAUUAUUAAUGGGGAACCAGGACUCGACCUAAGGCGAGUCUACUCAAAAAUGGCCAAGGGCAAGGGCAUGAUGGCUAUUCCUCUGCGAGGGAGAGGGGAAAACGUAACCAGGAGAAAGUGGACACUGGAAAAGUCUGGUGCUGUAAGAUUUCACGUUCCAGAUUUUCAGGGAGAGAAGCGAGCACGUCCCAGCUGGGGAGCGCCCGCCCAGAGCGGCCUGCUAAUUUGGCACAGCUAUCCCAGGAUGACGAUCUUUCUUUUAAAAGAGGCGGGAUAAUCACUUGUUCCUUGCAGCUCUGGACUCCCGGGAAGAAGCGGCCACUCCCGGUCAGAUUCUGGGAGACCAGAGAAACCUGUUGUUUCCGUUGAGUUUCAAAUAGAGGACCUUCCAUGUGUUAGGCCAGCGUGGUAACUACUACACCAU